GCAGAUAUAGCUCAAUUGGCAGAGCGCCGGCUUCAGAAUCUGGAGGUUAUAGGUUCGAUUCCUAUUGUCUGCGCCU
rnacentral:tRNA from 1 species